AAUGAACGUUGGCGGCAUGGAUUAGGCAUGCAAGUCGCGCGACAAGCCAUUUUUUAGCUUGCUAUUUAUGGUGGAGGAGCGGCGAAAGGGAGAGUAACGCGUGGAUCACCUACCCAAGGGUGCGGAAUAGCGGUUGGAAACGACCGGUAAUGCCGCAUAACGUCUCCGGACCAAAGCCCCGGCGCCUUUGGACGGGUCCGCGUACCAUUAGCUUGUUGGUGGGUAAAAGCCUACCAAGGCUGAGAUGGUUAGUGGGCGUGAGAGCGUGGCCCACCUCACUGGGACUGAGACACUGCCCAGACACCUACGGGUGGCUGCAGUCGAGAAUCUUUGUCAAUGGACGCAAGUCUGAACAAGCGAUGCCGCGUGCGGGAUGAAGGCCUUCGGGUUGUAAACCGCUGUCAGAGGGGAGCAAAUUUUGAGCGAUCCUCAGAGGAAGCCCGGGCUAAGUUCGUG
rnacentral:rRNA from 1 species